UCCUCGAUGGUCUAGUGGUCAUGAGUAAGACCUCCCCCGCGGGAGACCAGGGUUCGAUUCCCUGUCGGGGAG
rnacentral:tRNA from 1 species